UUGGGGUAGCCCUCAAAAUAUUGGGACAUAUAAAAAAAGACAACUCCGCAGAGUAGCUGUUGACAUUAUAAUUGCGCAGGAAUUUUGUUGACUCUAGAGAACCUUGGGCAAAUCGCACAUCGCCGUGGCGGCGACUUUGCAUGCGGAUGUCAUCCAUAUCAACUUUCGAUGCCAGUUUCUGCGCCUACCAUGGUGACCACGGGUAACGGGGAAUCAGGGUUCCAUUCCGUACAUGGACCCUGAGAAACGGCUACACAUGCAAGGAAGGCAGCAGGCGCGCAAAUGACCCACUCCCAACGCGGGAAGGUAGCGACGA